GACGAACGCUGGCGGCGUGCUUAACACAUGCAAGUCGAACGGAAAGGCCCUGCUUUUGUGGGGUGCUCGAGUGGCGAACGGGUGAGUAACACGUGAGUAACCUGCCCUUGACUUUGGGAUAACUUCAGGAAACUGGGGCUAAUACCGGAUAGGAGCUCCUGCUGCAUGGUGGGGGUUGGAAAGUUUCGGCGGUUGGGGAUGGACUCGCGGCUUAUCAGCUUGUUGGUGGGGUAGUGGCUUACCAAGGCUUUGACGGGUAGCCGGCCUGAGAGGGUGACCGGCCACAUUGGGACUGAGAUACGGCCCAGACUCCUACGGGAGGCAGCAGUGGUGAAUACUGCACAAUGGGCGGAAGCCUGAUGCAGCAACGCCGCGUGCGGGAUGACGGCCUUCGGGUUGUAAACCGCUUUCGCCUGUGACGAAGCGUGAGUGACGGUAAUGGGUAAAGAAGCACCGGCUAACUACGUG
rnacentral:rRNA from 1 species